rnacentral:rRNA from 1 species
CGCUGGCGGCGUGCCUAAUACAUGCAAGUCGAACGAUGAAGCUCUAGCUUGCUAGAGUGGAUUAGUGGCGCACGGGUGAGUAAUGCAUAGAUAACAUGCCCUUUAGUCUAGGAUAGCCAUUGGAAACGAUGAUUAAUACUGGAUACUCCUUACGAGGGAAAGUUUUUCGCUAAAGGAUUGGUCUAUGUCCUAUCAGCUUGUUGGUGAGGUAAUGGCUCACCAAGGCUAUGACGGGUAUCCGGCCUGAGAGGGUGAACGGACACACUGGAACUGAGACACGGUCCAGACUCCUACGGGAGGCAGCAGUAGGGAAUAUUGCUCAAUGGGGGAAACCCUGAAGCAGCAACGCCGCGUGGAGGAUGAAGGUUUUCGGAUUGUAAACUCCUUUUGUUAGAGAAGAUAAUGACGGUAUCUAACGAAUAAGCACCGGCUAACUCCGUGCCAGCAGCCGCGGUAAUACGGAGGGUGCAAGCGUUACUCGGAAUCACUGGGCGUAAAGAGCGCGUAGGCGGGAUAGCAAGUCAGAUGUGAAAUCCUAUGGCUUAACCAUAGAACUGCAUUUGAAACUGUUAUUCUAGAGUAUGGGAGAGGUAGGUGGAAUUCUUGGUGUAGGGGUAAAAUCCGUAGAGAUCAAGAGGAAUACUCAUUGCGAAGGCGACCUGCUAGAACAUAACUGACGCUGAUGCGCGAAAGCGUGGGGAGCAAACAGGAUUAGAUACCCUGGUAGUCCACGCCCUAAACGAUGAAUGCUAGUUGUUGUGGAGCUUGUCUCUGCAGUAAUGCAGCUAACGCAUUAAGCAUUCCGCCUGGGGAGUACGGUCGCAAGAUUAAAACUCAAAGGAAUAGACGGGGACCCGCACAAGCGGUGGAGCAUGUGGUUUAAUUCGAAGAUACACGAAGAACCUUACCUAGGCUUGACAUUGAUAGAAUCCGCUAGAGAUAGUGGAGUGCUAGCUUGCUAGAACUUGAAAACAGGUGCUGCACGGCUGUCGUCAGCUCGUGUCGUGAGAUGUUGGGUUAAGUCCCGCAACGAGCGCAACCCUCGUCCUUAGUUGCUAACUAUUCGGUAGAGCACUCUAAGGAGACUGCCUUCGCAAGGAGGAGGAAGGUGAGGAUGACGUCAAGUCAUCAUGGCCCUUACGCCUAGGGCUACACACGUGCUACAAUGGGAAGCACAAAGAGAUGCAAUAUUGUGAAAUGGAGCAAAUCUAUAAAACUUCUCUCAGUUCGGAUUGUAGUCUGCAACUCGACUACAUGAAGCUGGAAUCGCUAGUAAUCGUAAAUCAGCUAUGUUACGGUGAAUACGUUCCCGGGU